AGUAAAGUCAGCUAAAAAAGCUAUCGGGCCCAUACCCCGAAAAUGUCCACAGGGCCUUUACUA
rnacentral:tRNA from 1 species